UGUUCCGAAGAUAAACGGAGGUCUUACAGGUUUGGAAUGACAUGAGGGCUGAAUAAUUACAGGCUGAUGGAGAAAAGCUGUUCAGUUCUAGCUACUGUUCUCUCCUCCAAAACCACCCUGAAAGAGAUAAACCUGAACAACAGUCGUCUGCUGGACUCAGGAGUCAAAGAGAUCUGUGAGGGACUGAAGAAUCCUGUGUGUGAGCUGAAGAUACUCAAUCUGUGUAGAUGCAGUAUUACAGGGAAACAGUGUCACAUCCUAACUUCAGCUCUGAAAUUAAACCCAUCACACCUAAGAGAACUGAACCUGAGUGAGAAUGAACUAAAAAACGCAGGAGUGGAUCACUUAUGUGACGUACUGAAGGAUUCACACUGUAAACUGGAGAGAUUG